rnacentral:lncRNA from 1 species
CCCAGCUAUGGAGGCCUUAAAAUCCGGUGAGCAGCUCUUUUUGCCCUUGUGAAUUUUCUGCACACCACCUUUGACCAGAGAACCCACUUCAGCACCAUCCAUGUAUGCUUUACAUGCAGCCAGAAUAUCAUGUGCACGAUGGUAAAAGUGGCCACUAACAAAAUCAUUGAAAUGCUGCACCCAAAGAAAAUGAGUUUAUGUUUAAAUCAAGAAAGAAUGCUCCACUUACAUAUUAGUUUAUUCAUAACCGAUUGACCAAUGGAGCAGCACGAAAAGAACUCAAUUAGAAAUAAUGAUGCAGCAAUUUUUACUUUGUUGAGUUCUUAGAUCUGAAACAAGGAAUGUAUUUUGGACCUACAUAUAGCUUUUAGGUCAUUAAUAUGAUGAUAGUUGCCUCCUAACUGCAUUAUAAUUUGUUCAGUCUGCAGGACAACACUUAUACACAGUUUUCAAUUUACGAGUCCUCGUCCUGCAAUGCGUGAGUUUUCUUUCUAAGUCAUGCUGAGACACUAAACGUCCUCAGAAUUGCAAAUUAUAAAUAACAAUGUAAAACAUAAUUCACAAUUGUAGGGCCAUAACCAGCUCUAAAUCUCCAUAAAAGCAAACACCUUUAAUUACUAACUACAAACUGACGAUCUUGAGGUCUUUUUGGUGUGGUAGGGUGGGUCUUGAGGGGGAAAAAAUUCUGAAAGAGAAUAUCAUUUUCCCAUUAGUAACACAUGAAGGUUUUAAGUAAAAGAUCCAAUUUUCAAGUAACAUAGAGCUUCAGGAUGCAAGGACUAGAUUUAAAACACUUGAAGCAAACAAAAAUACAAGAAACAAUUAUAUCAGGUAUCUAUGAGAAAAUGCUUUGAAAUUUGGAAUGUGAAACACACUAAGUCAAUUCAAGAGUGAUUUAAAAUUCACAAGAACCACUCUACCGAACAGACGUUGUUGUACUGUCAAUGUAUUGAAAGUAAUAGCUGGCUAGCUGCAGAUAAUAUGCUUUCGUGGCAAGUCUUGAAAGAUUUCCUACUAGAACUGUUUCUUAUAAAUUCAACAGAUUAUCAAGCAAUUCUCAGCAAUUUGCAGGAACUGAUGGACAACAAGAUACACCACAAAAGUGGAACGAUGCCAUGUUAAGUAAUUAUUAUUAAAAGUUAAAACAUACCUUUGGAGGUCUCCUGACAGUGUACAGCAUUGUCUUCAGUGACAAGAUAAAUGCACGCUCAUUGUACAUAUUGGACUGUCUUUCACCUUCUUCCAUGCUGUCCAUACUUUCCCAACCAGGUUCGUUAAAGUAAGGCCUUUCAUUCA